CCAUCCCUUCCUUCCUCUCUCUAGGGCUUGCCUGGGUUCCCAGGAGUGCUGGGCAGACCAGGGAAUCCAGGAGAACCAGGAAUAAGAGGACCAACUGGACCGAUGGGUGGAAGUGGACCCCCAGGGGCUCCUGGUGUGAAGGGUGACCAAGGAGAACCAGGCAUUGGAGUUCAAGGUCCUCCUGGACCUCAGGGCAACAGAGGGUUACCUGGACCUCUAGGCACUCCAGGAGCAAUAGUAAGAUAAAAACGCAA